rnacentral:rRNA from 1 species
UGUGACAUACCUAUUUGUUGCCUCGGCGGUGCCUGUUCCGACAGCCCGCCAGAGGACCCCAAACCCUGAUUACAUUUAAGAAGUCUUCUGAGUAAACCGAUUAAAUAAAUCAAAACUUUCAACAACGGAUCUCUUGGUUCUGGCAUCGAUGAAGAACGCAGCGAAAUGCGAUAAGUAAUGUGAAUUGCAGAAUUCAGUGAAUCAUCGAAUCUUUGAACGCACAUUGCGCCCGCUAGUAUUCUGGCGGGCAUGCCUGUCCGAGCGUCAUUUCAACCCUCAAGCCCCCGGGCUUGGUGUUGGGGAUCGGCGAGCCUCCGCGCCCGCCGUCCCCUAAAUCUAGUGGCGGUCUCGCUGUAGCUUCCUCUGCGUAGUAGCACACCUCGCACUGGGAAACAGCGCGGCCACGCCGUUAAACCCCCAACUUCUGAACGUUUGACCUCGGAUCAGGUAGGAAUACCCGCUGAACUUAAGCAUAUCAA